rnacentral:rRNA from 1 species
AAUAGAUACCCAGGUAGUCCACGCUGUAAACGCUAAUCACUAGACGUUAGUCCAGCCAAGCUGGAUUAGUGUCGCAGCUAACGCGUUAAGUGAUUCGCCUGGGGACUACGAUCGCAAGAUUAAAACUCAAAGGAAUUGACGGGGGUCCGCACAAGCGGUGGAACAUGUGGUUUAAUUCGACAUUACGCGAGGAACCUUACCUGGACUUGACAUGCUCUGAUCACCAUAGAGAUAUGGUUUUCUAAGCUUCGGUUUAGACAGAUGCACAGGUGCUGCAUGGCUGUCGUCAGCUCGUGUCGUGAGAUGUUAGGUUAAGUCCUCUAACGAGCGCAACCCUUGCCUUCAGUUGCUAACUACUUUGUAGAGCACUCUGAUGGGGACUGCCUGGGGAAACCAGGAGGAAGGUGGGGACGACGUCAAGUCAUCAUGGUCCUUAUGUCCAGGGCUACACACGUGUUACAAUGGUCGGUACAGAGGGUCGCAAAUCCGCAAGGAGAAGCCAAUCCCAUAAAGCCG